UGGUGCCGAUGCGCUUAGGGGGAACACCCGUACCCAUCCCGAACACGAUGGUUAAGACCUAAGCGGCCGAUGGUACUAUGCUGGAGACGGCAUGGGAGAGCAGGUGGGUGCCAGAUU
rnacentral:rRNA from 3 species